AAGUCGUAACAAGGUUUCCGUAGGUGAACCUGCGGAAGGAUCAUUAACGAAGGCGAGAGUCGUAUUCGUAUGAUUUUCGUUUGAUCAACCACAUUCCAAGUGUAAUUUUCAAAUGAAUUGAAUGGGGAAACCCAAAAGAUUUAUUAUAAUAAUAAAAAAACAAAACUUUCAACAACGGAUCUCUUGGCUCUU
rnacentral:misc_RNA from 1 species